ACAGGCAAACAUGCAAACACAUUCAUUCAAUUGAAAUAACGGAGUUGUAUUUACAAGGAUAAUAUAUUCAACUUUGUGCUAUUUACAUUCAGGGUGAAUUUGAGAAAGCUCCUAUGCAUCUUCCAAUAGAUAUGGACAACAGAUUGAUGGAAAUGUAUUUCGUGAUCAAACUUCAUCACAAAGGUCCACAAUGAUCUUUGAGAAAUCAGGUGCUGACCCAGGAGCAUUUCAACUGAAGUUGCUCUUGGCAUCAGAGUCUGAAUGUGUCACGCCCCGAUCCUCGGGCACGUACACAUCCUUCUCACUUGGUCGAUUUUAUAAUGCGAUAUCCCAGGACUAUGUAUCGCCGACCCUUUCAUUUAUUAAGCACAUGCGGAAGCAGUUAAAAUCCCCAGACAAUAAAACGAUGGGAUAGAAAAGCAGGGCCAUAUUUUUCAUAUUGAAAUUUAUAACCAAACUUUUAUACAAAACACAAACCACUUCAUAACUAUUCACUUCAAAAUAGAAUUCUCAAAAGAAGAUAGACUCUCAGUCCAUCCGGGCUGUACUCAAGGCUCCUCUCGGGAUUAUCUUCUUCUUCCAAAAUCCUUCUCCUCAGGUUUUACCUCCGAGUUCUCCUUCCCAGACUUCUCCUCCUCAGCUUCUCAUCGGGAUCCUGAAAUGUUUUCCCCAAACUGGGAUGAGACUACGUCUCAACGAGUUCUACCCCACUAAGCCCGAUUAGUAAACCAUUAUACUAUAGGCUGCCUAUACACGCACAGGGCAGAAGACAUACCUUGGCCUCAGAUCCCUCCUGCAAGUCAGUACAAUUCAUAAUAGGCACCCAAGCAAUCAUAUCACAGAUCGAAGCAUUGAUCAAAUCGACCUAGUCGAUUACAAGCCAACAAGACCACUCCCGAUCAUUUCCAUCCAAUCAAUCAAUUCACAGCAUCAUAUCAAAGCAAUGACCCCUUCCAUACUUUCUAUAAGUCUGAUCAAUAUCCAAGACUACUCACCCUAGGUGAUAUAUAGAUAGCAUGUUAUCCUAUCUCCAAACGACAUAUAGAGUCAUCGAGCUAUCAAAUCAUACCGUACUGUCUCCAGAUGCUCCGUAGAGUCAUCGAGCCGGUAGAUCAUACCGUCCUGUCUCAAGAUGACAUAUAAAGUCACCGAGCCGGUAUACACACAAUUUAUCAUACCGUACUGUCUCCAGAUGCUCCGUAGAGUCAUCGAGCCGGUAGAUCAUACCGUCCUGUCUCAAGAUGCUCCGUGGAGUCAUCGAGCCGGUAUACACACAAUUUAUCAUACCAUACUGUCUCCAGAUGCUCCGUAGAGUCAUCGAGCUGGUAUACAUGUCAUUCCAAGCAAACAAUCAAAUAACCAGUUUUAUCAUUUCCGAUAAAAUGCCAUGAGUGGGUACUCGAUCGGCCCUAGCCAAAAUAUAAUAAUCUCCUUUUUAUAAAUCCCACCAUAUUAUGUAUUCCACUAAAACAUUUUUGGUAUCAUUAACUGAUGCCCGGUUAAUUUCCAAUUAAUUUUCCAAGAUUACUCAAAAUAAUUCCCAAAUAAAUCAUUUUCGCACAAAAUAAAGAUCAAUUAAAUAAACGGAUUGCACCACGACAAUCAGCAUAAAAUUCCGAUUCCGGACCAUCUCAAUUGAAUUUUCGGAAAAUAAAUAAUUAUUUAAUUUAAUUCCGAAAUUUAAUAUUUAAAUACUAAAAAUUCCAAUUAGGCCCAAAAAGCCUAAUUGAAGCCCACUAAGGGUCGGGAAAAAUCCCGAGGCACUUCCAAUAAUUAGUAGACCACGUCUACUUGCUAAAUACACAAUCAAAAUAUCUAACAUGCAUCACAAUUGUCUAAUAAUCACUAAUCUACUCUAAUCUAACCACCUAAUUACAUUUAAUUAAACCUAACCAACCCCUAAGCAUAAUUAGUAAACUAAGCAGGGAUUAGUGAGAUUACUCACUUGAUUAAAGAUUUGAUCGGAUCAAAUCGACGAGCACGCGACAAGGCUCGAUUCUCUCCAAAGCGAUUCCGACAACCGGGGUCGAGACGGUUCAAAAACGGGCCACGAGGUCUUCAAACCCUUGCUGGAAACUGAAGAAAUAGACUGCUGAAAUGGGUUGCCUUCUUACACUCAAACGGACCUCAUAGAAUUGAAUCGGUGAAGACGUGGGUUGAGCCGAGCUACUGAAAACAGAAAGGUCGAAGUUGCUGCCGAAGGGGCCACGACUUCCACGUUGGAGAUGAGUCCCACACGCUGGAGGGCUGACUGCCAAAGUGGGGGCGUCCGCGACUUCUGUGGAGGGGCAGACUAAGCACGAAAAGGGACAAACAACCGCACAAUCGAAGGAAGCAGCGUCGUCGAUUCUGGUGGACCACGCUUCGACUGAUUAAGGAAAAAGACAGCACGUGCAAAUGGGAGAAGUCAUGCGAGGAAGUGGACAGCAACCGCACCAAAGGAAAGAAGACUCCUUCGGUCUUGAUGAGGGAGACGGCGAAUAGUGCAGAAACCGAAUGGGACGUUUGUCCACGUCGCCCAGAGAAAGAGAGAGAGAGAUAUUUAUUUAUGGGAUAAGCAAAGACUCGGUCAAACAGGGAAAUUGAAUUCUGCAGGGAGAGACAGUCGGUGGGGCAUGAACCGAGAGGGAGAGGAUGUGCGGAUGGUAUUCACGCACAAGGAAAAGUAAAAAGGAACGUGCGUGGAAGGGGGGAAGGAGAGAGAGAAUAAGUGUGCGGGCGAGACGGGGGCAACGUCGGCCAGAGGGGCACACGCCAAAAGAAAAAAAAAAGAAAUAGGAAGAUGAGAAAGAAUUAAAUAUUCUUGCUUGAGCUUCGGAUGAUUAGGAAGCAUGCACGAUGGACAAGAGGUAUACAUGGCCGAGAGUGUCCAAGGGAAAAGGAACCAAAAUGCUGAAUAAAACACUUUAUACUCACCUUCAAUUAACAUUAUUGAUUGGUCAUCCUAGGCCAAAUUCUUCAUCAAUUGUACAUUUGAAAUCUAAUUGAAGGCGGUCCUUUAAUCCCACGAAUUUUCUUCAAAUCUGAGUUUUACCUCGCUUUUCUUGGCAUUCGAUAUUCUGAACAAACAAAUCCAUUUGAGGUCCAAUUCGAAUCUGGAAAAAGUCCAAACAACUUGCAUUUACCGAUUCGCCUACACCAGAUGCCAAAUAUCUCUUCGAAUUGGCCAAUCCAUAUUUCCGUUUAUUUUCCGAAUCGUCCAUCUUAAUUUCCCGAAAAAGAUCCCGAUUCUUCAGAAUUUCCUCAAAAGGUGAGUCGUCGCUCUUAGAAUGACCCAUGACACGACAGGACUUCCAAUUUCUGAAAUUGAAUUCAAUCGCGGUUAUUUUCAAUCAAACGUGCUUUUAGUGUGACCUUACCUACCGGGUAGCUUUUAGGAAUUUUCUUGUGCAAUUGACCCGUGGUUGAUUUUCUUCAAAUCACAAUGAACCCAUCCGACACAUUGGUGACUCUCGAUGCUCGUGAAAAUCUCAAGGUUUCAAAUACGGGCACAGGAUACCCAAAAGGACAGAAAAUUGGUUUAGUGCCGACCGAUGAGAAUUUUGCAAUCAUGUGGCAUCACCCACACUUGAUCACACAUUUCAGUCGAAUCGAUCUAUCUCUGAUCUCUGAUCGAUUUUGACAAUGCCGUAAUGACCCUUGCAGACUAGAACAGUCGAGUAGUCGAUUCCUGAUCGAAUUCUCAAGUCUAUUGCGUUUAAAAUCCCUGAAUGGCUUCACCGAAUAGGCUAGUUAUCUCAUGAGUGGCCAACUCAGAGAAAAACACUAUAGUAACGUUGACGAAAGGCCCAUCUUAUCCAAUCGAAAUCAGAACAUGAAAUUCAGGAUGUCACAUAAUGCAGCCUCAAUGCAGCAGAAGAAGGAUUCCUGGAAAGCAUAAGAUUUCCUUUGACAUCUCCACCUCCAUAUUCGGUCAAUAGUGCGUCCAUGACAAUUUUGCAUGCCCC
rnacentral:lncRNA from 1 species